UGGGGAAUAUUGCACAAUGGGGGAAACCCUGAUGCAGCGACGCCGCGUGAGCGAUGAAGUAUUUCGGUAUGUAAAGCUCUACCAGCAGGGAAGAAUUAAGACGGUACCUGACUAAGAAGCCCCGGCUAACUACGUGCCAGCAGCCGCGGUAAUACGUAGGGGGCAAGCGUUAUCCGGAUUUACUGGGUGUAAAGGGAGCGUAGACGGCGGUACAAGCCAGAUGUGAAAGCCCGGGGCUCAACCCCGGGACUGCAUUUGGAACUGUAGUGCUGGAGUGUCGGAGAGGCAGGCGGAAUUCCUAGUGUAGCGGUGAAAUGCGUAGAUAUUAGGAGGAACACCAGUGGCGAAGGGCGGCCUGCUGGACGAUGACUGACGUUGGAGGCUCGAAAGCGUGGGGAGCAAACAGGAUUAGCAUACC
rnacentral:rRNA from 1 species